CACGUAGGGUGCGAGCGUUUGUCCGGAAUUAUUGGGCGUAAAGAGCUCGUAGGCGGUGUGUCGCGUCGGCCGUGAAAACCUGCAGCUUAACUGUGGGCUUGCGGUCGAUACGGGCAUCACUGGAGUUCGGCAGGGGAGACUGGAAUUCCUGGUGUAGCGGUGAAAUGCGCAGACUAUCAGGGAGGGAACACCGGUGGGCGAAAGGCGGGUCUCUGGGC
rnacentral:rRNA from 1 species